rnacentral:rRNA from 1 species
UACGGGGGGGGCAAGCGUUGUUCGGAAUUACUGGGCGUAAAGGGCUCGUAGGCGGCCAACUAAGUCGGAUGUGAAAUCCCCAGGCUUAACCUGGGAACUGCAUCCGAUACUGGAUGGCUUGAAUUCGGGAGAGGGAUGCAGAAUUCCAGGUGUAGCGGUGAAAUGCGUAGAUAUCUGGAGGAAUACCGGUGGCGAAGGCGGCAUCCUGGACCGAUAUUGACACUGAUGAGCGAAAGCCAGGGGAGCAAACGGG